rnacentral:rRNA from 1 species
AUUGAACGCUGGCGGCAGGCCUAACACAUGCAAGUCGAGCGGAUGAAGGGAGCUUGCUCCUGGAUUCAGCGGCGGACGGGUGAGUAAUGCCUAGGAAUCUGCCUGGUAGUGGGGGAUAACGUCCGGAAACGGGCGCUAAUACCGCAUACGUCCUGAGGGAGAAAGUGGGGGAUCCUCGGACCUCACGCUAUCAGAUGAGCCUAGGUCGGAUUAGCUAGUUGGUGGGGUAAAGGCCUACCAAGGCGACGAUCCGUAACUGGUCUGAGAGGAUGAUCAGUCACACUGGAACUGAGACACGGUCCAGACUCCUACGGGAGGCAGCAGUGGGGAAUAUUGGACAAUGGGCGAAAGCCUGAUCCAGCCAUGCCGCGUGUGUGAAGAAGGUCUUCGGAUUGUAAAGCACUUUAAGUUGGGAGGAAGGGCAGUAAGUUAAUACCUUGCUGUUUUGACGUGACCAACAGAAUAAGCACCGGCUAACUUCGU